UCUCGAAUUUGAUGGGAAGUGUAGAAUUGUAAUUAUCUAAAGUUGUGGCAUCUAUUUAGUAAUUAAGAAAACAAUUUGGCCUUAUAGCCAAUUUUCAGAAUUUAUAUUUGAGAUAGGAAUUGACGUGUACAUCGUCAAUUCACAAUACUCCUUUGGCAGCCACGUUUCUUCUUUUCUCCCCAACUCUUCUCUCUCCCUCACCGUCUCUCUACCUCACCGUCUCUCUCUUAUCAUCUCUCUCUUUCUCUCUAUCUUCCUCUCUUCUCUCUCUCUGUCUCUAUAUUGAUUCUUGGCUGAAAUACCCAAUUCAUAUUAUCAGCAUAAUCGGGGCUGCGUGGAUGCUUUAGCAAAGGGUAUUAAUGAUCAGCUCAUAUGAUUAGAAAUAUUGGGAAGUCAAAUUUAAAGUGGUGGUGGUCUCCAGCAGCAGUCGCCGGCGGUGGUGGCUGGAAUCCGACAAAGAAGAUAAGCUGUCCAAAAUCUGAAUUUCAGCUUUUGGUCCUUUGAAGAAUAAAUUGCUCGGAGGCCUUAAAGGUUGAAUAUUGACGAUCAGGACACACGGUUAGAAACCUCGAGAUGUUAGCUUUCCAUUGGUGUUGGAGCUCGGUAGUAUUAAUCGGCGGUGGUUGCCGGAAUCGGGCGAGAAGUUCAGCCUGCUCGCUGGACCUAUAAUGAAAUCUGCUGCCGCACCUGUUUUCGGAGCCAAAAUCGAAGGGUUUGGAGUAAGAAUUUGGGAAUAAUUCCUUCACAAAACUCGUAGAGGACAUCGUAAACUAUAAGUGUUGAGCGUAGUAAAGCUCUCACUCAAGGUUUAAGCUUAAAGAUGCUUCUAUAGCACUUCUAUAACACUAGCGUUGGACUCCAGGUGAGAAACUAUGACUCCUUAUCCAAUUUCUUUCUUGCGCAUAAUAUCUCCUUUGUUUGAACCGAAUAUUUUGUAUAUAUUGAAGCCUUCGAUACCUUGAUUAUAUUUGUUCUUGAAA